GCAAGUCGAGCGGUAACAGAGAGGUGCUUGCACCUUUGCUGACGAGCGGCGGACGGGUGAGUAAUGCCUGGGAAUAUGCCUUGAUGUGGGGGAUAACUAUUGGAAACGAUAGCUAAUACCGCAUAAUGCCUACGGGCCAAAGAGGGGGAUCUUCGGACCUCUCGCGUCAAGAUUAGCCCAGGUGGGAUUAGCUAGUUGGUGAGGUAAUGGCUCACCAAGGCGACGAUCCCUAGCUGGUCUGAGAGGAUGAUC
rnacentral:rRNA from 1 species